CAGUCGCCGCGGUAAUACAGAGGGUGCAAGCGUUAAUCGGAAUUACUGGGCGUAAAGCGCGCGUAGGUGGUUUGUUAAGUUGGAUGUGAAAUCCCCGGGCUCAACCUGGGAACUGCAUCCAAAACUGGCAAGCUAGAGUAUGGUAGAGGGUGGUGGAAUUUCCUGUGUAGCGGUGAAAUGUGUAGAUAUAGGAAGGAACACCAGUGGCGAAGGCGACCACCUGGACUGAUACUGACACUGAGGUGCGAAAGCGUGGGGAGCAAACAGGAUUAGAUACCCCUGUAGUCCCUGUCUCUUAUAC
rnacentral:rRNA from 1 species